rnacentral:rRNA from 1 species
UACGUAGGGUGCGAGCGUUAAUCGGAAUUACUGGGCGUAAAGUGUGCGCAGGCGGCCGAGCAAGUCGAGUGUGAAAGCCCCGGGCUUAACUUGGGAAUUGCGCUCGAAACUACUUGGCUGGAGUGUGGCAGAGGAAGGUGGAAUUCCAGGUGUAGCGGUGAAAUGCGUAGAGAUCUGGAGGAACACCGAUGGCGAAGGCAGCCUUCUGGGCCAACACUGACGCUGAGGCGCGAAGGCGUGGGGAGCGAACGGG